GCUGGGCGUGCUGAUGUGUGCCUGUAGUCCCAGGUACUUGGGAGGCUGAGACAAGAGGAUCGCUGAGUUCAGGAGUUUGAGGUUAUGGUGAGCUAUGAUGAUGCCAUGGCACUCUAGCCAGAGUGACAGAGUGAGACUCUAUUUCAAAAAAAAGAGAGAAGGAGACAGGGUCUAACUCUGUCACCCAAGCUGGAGUGCAGUGGCAAAUCAUAGCUCACUGCAGCCUCAACUCCUAGGUUCAAAUGAUCCUCCUGCCUCA
rnacentral:sRNA from 1 species